UAAUAUUGCUAUGUAUUCUAUAAUUGCGAAAAUUUUUAAUUUAAAAUAUGCUGAUUUAGAAAACGAGGGGGCGGCUAAAAUUAAGUGGCACAAUGGCGGCAUCACUCCUAGAACCGGGCCUGCCUGCAAUCUUACCUCCAAUGGCCUGGACGUAACACCGAUAUAUGCUUCCUCUUUAUUCUUUGUGUUAUUUACAGUGGGAAUCUUGUACACCCCCGCUUUUUGUUCCUCUUUUCUUCUAUCUUUAUCAUUCCUUAGAUGUUUGUAAAGAGUGUGGUAUCUUUUAAAUGUAAUCUUUGUAGUACCUUUCCUAGCUAACACUUUGACAUUUCUGUACUUGCUCAUUGCAAACCGUAUUGCUUCAUAUUCAGUACUGCUCAGCAACUUCUCUACUG
rnacentral:lncRNA from 1 species